GUUCUUGUAGUUAAAUUAAUAUAACAGCGGUUUUUCAAGCCGCAAGUCCCAGAGAAAGACUGGGCAGGAAUA
rnacentral:tRNA from 1 species